rnacentral:rRNA from 1 species
UACGAAGGGUGCAAGCGUUACUCGGAAUUACUGGGCGUAAAGCGUGCGUAGGUGGUUUGUUAAGUCUGAUGUGAAGGCCCUGGGCUCAACCUGGGAAUUGCAUUGGAUACUGGCAGGCUAGAGUGCGGUAGAGGAUGGCGGAAUUCCCGGUGUAGCAGUGAAAUGCGUAGAGAUCGGGAGGAACAUCAGUGGCGAAGGCGGCCAUCUGGGACAACACUGACGCUGAAGCACGAAAGCGUGGGGAGCAAACAGG